rnacentral:rRNA from 1 species
UACGUAGGCAGCGAGCGUUGUUCGGAGUUACUGGGCGUAAAGGGUGCGUAGGCGGUUGUUUAAGUUUGGUGUGAAGUCUCCCGGCUCAACUGGGAGGGUGCGCCGAAUACUGAAUGACUAGAGUGCGGGAGAGGAUAGUGGAAUUCCUGGUGUAGCGGUGAAAUGCGCAGAUAUCAGGAGGAACACCAAUGGCGAAGGCAGCACUCUGGGACGUGACUGACGCUGAGACGCGAAAGCGUGGGGAGCAAACAGG